UACGGAGGGUGCGAGCGUUGUCCGGAAUCACUGGGCGUAAAGGGCGCGUAGGCGGCGCGGGGAGUCAACGGUGAAAGCUCGGCGCUCAACGCCGAGUCGGCCGUCGAUACUCCCGUGCUCGAGCACUGUAGAGGCAGGUGGAAUUCCGGGUGUAGCGGUGGAAUGCGUAGAGAUCCGGAAGAACACCGGUGGUGUAGACGGCUUUCUGGACCGUAACUGACGCUGAGACACGAAAGCGUGGGUAGCAAACAGG
rnacentral:rRNA from 1 species